CAGAGGUCACUGCUACYCGGSGGWUCGAUUAAGCCAUGCGAGUCGAGAGGGUUCAGACCCUCGGCGGACUGCUCAGUAACACGUGGAUAACCUGCCCUAAGGUGGAGCAUAACCCCGGGAAACUGGGGAUAAUACUCCAUAGGUUAGAGAUACUGGAAUGUUCUUUAAUCGAAAGUUCCGGCGCCUUAGGAUGGAUCUGCGGCCGAUUAGGUAGUUGUUGGGGUAACGGCCCAACAAGCCUGUAAUCGGUACGGGUUGUGGGAGCAAGAGCCCGGAGAUGGAAUCUGAGACACGAUUCCAGGCCCUACGGGGCGCAGCAGGCGCGAAAACUUUACAAUGCAGGAAACUGUGAUAAGGGAACCCCGAGUGCCCGUAUACGCGGGCUGUCCGGGUGUAUAAAAAGCAUCUGAAGAAAGGGCCGGGCAAGACCGGUGCCAGCCGCCGCGGUAAUACCGGCGGCUCGAGUGGUGACCACUUUUAUUGGGCUUAAAGCGUUCGUAGCUGGACUCUUAAGUCUCUUGGGAAAUCCCGCGGCUCAACCGUGGGGCGUUUAAGAGAUACUGGGAGUCUAGGAACCGGGAGAGGUAAGAGGUACUUCGGGGGUAGAAGUGAAAUUCUGUAAUCCUCGAGGGACCACCGAUGGCGAAGGCAUCUUACCAGAACGGCUUCGACAGUGAGGAACGAAAGCUGGGGGAGCGAACGGGAUUAGAUACCCCGGUAGUCCCAGCCGUAAACGAUGCGCGUUAGGUGUACUGGUGACCACGAGUCACUGGGGUGCCGAAGGGAAACCGUGAAACGUGCCGCCUGGGAAGUACGGUCGCAAGGCUGAAACUUAAAGGAAUUGGCGGGRGMRCMCMMCARCSGGUGGAGCCUGCGGUUUAAUUG
rnacentral:rRNA from 1 species